rnacentral:rRNA from 1 species
UACGUAGGGGGGCAAGCGUUUGUCCGGAUUUAUUGGGCGUAAAGAGCGUGUAGGCGGCUUUACAGGUCCGUUGUGAAAACUCGAGGCUCAACCUCGAGACGCCGGUGGAAACCGUAAGGCUAGAGUCCGGAAGAGGAGAGUGGAAUUCCUGGUGUAGCGGUGAAAUGCGCAGAUAUCAGGAGGAACACCGGUGGUGUAGACGGCUUUCUGGACCGUAACUGACGCUGAUACACGAAAGCGUGGGUAGCAAACAGG